UUGUGGUAUCAACUUCAUCAUUAUUCAUUACAAAAGUUGCCCUGCAUUUUCUUUUAGGAUAAAUGAAGCCCUUGUUUAAAAAAAAGGAUAAAUUGAAAAAAGUGAUUUCUUAACGAUAGGGAAGAGAUGCCUUGGGGUAUGCUUGUUUUGCAUUUUUGUUAGUGUUAUAUUAUAUAUGUGAAUAUCCUUUGUACUAAAUCUGAUGGAAAAGGGCCUCCAACAACUUGUUGCCAGUCUUUUCCCCCACUUCAAUUGUUCUUUCAAUUUGUUUAUAAGUAUUACUGUUCCCUCUUGUAAAUAUGCAGGCCACACCUGGCAUUUGUAUAUUCAUGGAUAGAACUGGGAGUCCAGUAGUAUUUAGCUGCAUGUGUGCAGCUCAUUGUCUUACUUUGUCCUACGGUAUAGCAAAUUGGGUUUCUCAAAUUUCAGUUUAUUGGUAAUAUGUUAUUAGGACAAAACUUAUGUGUGGUCAUUGCAUAUAUUGUCCAACUACCUUAUCUUUCCCAUAUUGCAUAUUGCUAAUCUUUGUUCUUCCUUAUUUGCGGCUUGUGAAUCGAUUGUCACAGUAAAACCUCAUGGCUCAUUCCUGCAGUUCUGAAUGCUUGAAAACCACAGCCCAUAUGUCCGCAAGGUUGUUACCACUCCCACUUUGUUCUAUAGAUUUUUUUUUGUUCUGCAGAUGUCGUCUUUAAUCACAUGGUCUUCAGUAUAUUUAAUCCGUUAUUAGCUUUAUUUGGUGUAUAGACAAUGUUAUGUGGGAAAAAAUAACUACACAUUAUGUAAAAAAUUGUAAUCAUCAAUGCUAGCAUUUAUAUUGCCACUAGCUGCAGUUCACUAUAUCUGUCCUUUGAUUAAGUUUUGUCCAAAAUUUUCAGAGUUUCCGCUGCUUCAGUUUAGUUCAUUUUAGUGCAGCAUAGCCUUAUUUAAGCACUGAUGAACUAUGCUGGUGCCAUUGGACUAAUCUCUUAUAUCUCCUAGUUAACAGCAUGGCUGCAUCUACAGUGUAAGUCUUGCCUUUUGUUUUUGAUGGUGUACCUGCCUUCCCUAUAUGUAAUAGAUACCACAAAUCAAAAUUUAGUGAUUUUGAUGAAACAGUAUUUGGAAUUACUUGCCAAGAAUCGGACUGAACUUCAGUUCUCAUUUGCAUAGCUGAUGUACAAAAAAGAUGAUAGCUCAUAAUGAUAGCUGUGGUGUCUAAAAUAGUUGUAUACAAUAGAUGAUAGCUCUAUUUUCAUCCUGCAUUUUUCUUCUUUAAAUCAUUUUGUAAUCUCAUUGAGCAGGACGACUAUGAAGUUGUCAGGAAAGUCUUUGGGGGCAUCAUCAAAAUCAAGCCUAUGAAGAAAAGAAGGUAGCCUAUGAGGACUAUGAAGCUGAACCUGCUGCUCAGCGACUAGUACCACGAGGUCACCCUCUCCUCCAGGCCCUUCUGGUGGAAUGGCAAGCCGCAGAAAAUUAUGUUGGGAUCCCAAAGAUAAGUCACCUGGAUGCAUUGCUUAAAUGAGUGCUUAAGUUUGCUACCAGAGCAAUCAUUAAGGUAAGCAGCAUAAGAGCAGCAUGCCCUGGUCACCAGAUAUUGACAACUUUUAGUGAACCUUGGUCACCAGGUUAGGUUAUUUCAUGCCUUUUCAGUUGCAGCUAACUAAUCAUCUACAAAAUGAUUAUUCUUUUGGCUACCAGUUCAAUAAUUAUUGAAGCUCAUUUGAAGUUCAUGAUGUUCAUCAAUAGUCAUUUAAGCAGAAGUCCCUGGCUGGAAAUAAGGAUGCAGAUUAGAUAAUUAUGGUGACUUUAGAGAUAGUUGUUGAUUGAUAUGAAUGACUUCAAAAGAUUGUGUAUGUGUAUCUGUAAUGUAUAUAUGGAUAGAUCCUAUGUAUUUGUGAUGUAAAUAAGACCUAUUCCAUGUCCUA